rfam:Gossypium hirsutum cultivar TM-1 chromosome 16, whole genome shotgun sequence
AACCCAGGGUGACGACACCUUCUUAAUAAAUCAUUAUAUCUCUCUCAUGCAUCAUAUAAGGUUUUUAAAUCAAUCUGAAUGAAGGAAGAGAUAUCAUUCCUCAACUU